GACGAACGCUGGCGGCGUGCUUAACACAUGCAAGUCGAACGAUGAUGCUGGAGCUUGCUCCAGUUGAUUAGUGGCGAACGGGUGAGUAACACGUGAGCAAUCUGCCCUUGACUCUGGGAUAACUGCGGGAAACUGUAGCUAAUACCGGAUACUUUCACCGGAAGGCAUCUUCUGGUGAUGAAAGAAUUUCGGUCAGGGAUGAGCUCGCGGCCUAUCAGCUUGUUAGUGAGGUAACGGCUCACCAAGGCGACGACGGGUAACCGGCCUGAGAGGGUGACCGGUCACACUGGGGCUGAGACACGGCCCAGACUCCUACGGGAGGCAGCAGUGGGGAAUAUUGCACAAUGGGCGCAAGCCUGAUGCAGCAACGCCGCGUGAGGGAUGAAGGCCUUCGGGUUGUAAACCUCUUUUAGCAGGGAAGAAGCGAAAGUGACGGUACCUGCAGAAAAAGCACCGGCUAACUACGUGCCAGCCGCCGCCGUAA
rnacentral:rRNA from 1 species